CCUACGGGGGGCUGCAGUGGGGAAUAUUGGACAGUGGGGGCAACCCUGAUCCAGCCAUGCCGCGUGUGUGAAGAAGGCCCUCGGGUUGUAAAGCACUUUCAGUGAGGAAGAACGCCUGGUGGUUAAUACCCAUCAGGAAAGACAUCACUCACAGAAGAAGCACCGGCUAACUCCGUGCCAGCAGCCGCGGUAAUACGGAGGGUGCGAGCGUUAAUCGGAAUUACUGGGCGUAAAGCGCGCGUAGGUGGCUUGAUAAGCCGGUUGUGAAAGCCCCGGGCUCAACCUGGGAACGGCAUCCGGAACUGUCAAGCUAGAGUGCAGGAGAGGAAGGUAGAAUUCCCGGUGUAGCGGUGAAAUGCGUAGAGAUCGGGAGGAAUACCAGUGGCGAAGGCGGCCUUCUGGACUGACACUGACACUGAGGUGCGAAAGCGUGGGUAGCAAACAGGAUUAGAUACCCGUGUAGUC
rnacentral:rRNA from 1 species